rnacentral:rRNA from 1 species
CUUGAGUGCAGAAGAGGAGAGUGGAAUUCCACGUGUAGCGGUGAAAUGCGUAGAGAUGUGGAGGAACACCAGUGGCGAAGGCGACUCUCUGGUCUGUAACUGACGCUGAGGCGCGAAAGCGUGGGGAGCGAACAGGAUUAGAUACCCUGGUAGUCCACGCCGUAAACGAUGAGUGCUAAGUGUUAGAGGGUUUCCGCCCUUUAGUGCUGCAGCAAACGCAUUAAGCACUCCGCCUGGGGAGUACGGUCGCAAGACUGAAACUCAAAGGAAUUGACGGGGGCCCGCACAAGCGGUGGAGCAUGUGGUUUAAUUCGAAGCAACGCGAAGAACCUUACCAGGUCUUGACAUCCUCUGACAACCCUAGAGAUAGGGCUUCCCCUUCGGGGGCAGAGUGACAGGUGGUGCAUGGUUGUCGUCAGCUCGUGUCGUGAGAUGUUGGGUUAAGUCCCGCAACGAGCGCAACCCUUGAUCUUAGUUGCCAGCAUUCAGUUGGGCACUCUAAGGUGACUGCCGGUGACAAACCGGAGGAAGGUGGGGAUGACGUCAAAUCAUCAUGCCCCUUAUGACCUGGGCUACACACGUGCUACAAUGGGCAGAACAAAGGGCAGCGAAGCCGCGAGGCUAAGCCAAUCCCACAAAUCUGUUCUCAGUUCGGAUCGCAGUCUGCAACUCGACUGCGUGAAGCUGGAAUCGCUAGUAAUCGCGGAUCAGCAUGCC